rnacentral:misc_RNA from 1 species
GGCAUUGUCGUUGGCAAAGGCCACAGAAAAGCACAAAAGCUUCCAAGUUAAGAAAGUCUGAAACCCAUCAAACUGUCAUGUGUUAGCCAAUCAGCAGAAGAAGCGUGGAAACAUAUAAUGACUCGCUCCUAUCUAAUCGUGGCGCCAACAUUAAAUACAAAUUUCUCUUUCUGCCCCCACAAUUUUUCUCUAAUUACGAAAAGUCGUCGACCGUGGACUCUGUCCCCUCGUGCCCGGACAGCCGAUGUACGCCUUCCACUUCAAAACUGUGUCUUACGACAUCUUAUCUCUACCUAAAAUUUUCCAUCUUUUCUUUCUUCUUCGUGGACUCGAAGGCGUUUAAUUAAUUGUGGACUCCAAAAAAUUUAAUUUAGGUCGGUGAUUUUAAUCGGUUGAGGCGUCCCCAUGGGAGGGAGAAGGAUCAAUGCCGGUUAUUACAAGUACUCGAUUACCUUACCUGUGCGGCUCCCUUGAGGACCAAACUCCUGGAUGCCCAGCCGUGUCAUGUCGGGUCCCACCUUGUCGGCUUGUCGUUUGGAGGUUGUAGUAAUGGGACCCUUCUUCUUUUAACCAAGGAAAAGACUUGGGUCCCGCUUCUGGACGUGGAAGUUUCCAUCUAAAUACUAUAGUACAGUAUAGUAUUUAGCUUUUGCUUUUUCUUCUCUUUGUUUUUGUAUUUCUCGCGUCGCGUUAUGAGAGAAGUUACUUUGGACUUCUUGGGCUGGUAUACCGUAAUUUUCAUUUUUUAUAAAAUAUCGGGGAUGAAAAUUAAUUCUGGAUAUUAUGUCUUGGGAAAAAGAGAAAGCGGAGGGAAAUUGAAAAUAUCGGAAGGAGAAAAGAGAUAUGGGAAAAUCAGGAGGCAAAACCAUAAAACCAGACAGGUGGGUCCCAAUCCACCCAUCAAAAUCCUUUUCUCUUUCAUUUCUCAAAUACUCACCUUUCCUCCUUUCUCAUUCUUAUUUACUGCUCUUUCCCCGGCGCCCACCAAACUCAACCAUCUCCAUUAUCAACCCUCCUCCUUUUACAUGCAACUUGUUUUCGUCGGUGGUGGUGGUGCUGCUGCUGCGACGACUGCCUCCAUGUCGACGCUGUCCAGGGAGGACAACGCUGCUAUGUCAUCUGAGGAUUCUUCUAGCCCCGAUGAGGCUGAGCUCGAGCUCGGUCUUGGCUUGAGUCUUGGUGGUGGUUUUAAGAACCAGCAAGUAGCAGUCAAGAAUCAAUAUGCUAGAAUUCUAACUGCUAAGGAUUUGCCUUCUGGUGUUUCUGCUUCUUCUUCUUUUUCUUCUACGUCGUCGUCUUCUUCCACGUUGAGCAGAGCCAACGCUACGGCUGGGACCAAGAGGAGUGCUGAUUCUGUCUCCGCCGCCCCUAAUGGUGCGUCCAGUCAAGUUGUUGGUUGGCCGCCAAUAAGAGCCUAUCGAAUGAACAGUAUGGUCAACCAGGCAAAGUCAGUGGCCACUGAAGAAUAUAGUUCAAUAAUUGGGAAAAAUGAAAGCAAGACUGCUGUGCUGGAGAAGACUAACAAUGGAAGUAACAUCAAUAAUUCCAAGGUCAGGACUUCGCUCUUUGUCAAGGUGAAUAUGGAUGGGAUUGCUAUAGGGAGAAAGGUUGAUCUGAAUGCUCAUGGUUGCUAUGAGACCUUAGCCCAAACCUUGGAAGAUAUGUUCCUUCGACCCACCCCAACAGUCAAUUCAAUACGAUCAAGUGCACCACAGCAUAAUCUAAUGGUAGAAGCAACGAGAUGCCCACAAUUGCUGGAUGGUUCAUCUGAGUUUGUGCUCACUUAUGAGGACAAGGAUGGCGAUUGGAUGCUUGUUGGAGAUGUUCCUUGGGGGAUGUUCCUUAGCUCUGUGAAGAGGCUAAGAAUCAUGAGGAGAUCUGAAGCAAAUGGACUUGGUAAACAAACAUGAAAUCAACAUUCUGAUUCACCCCUGAAGCUGCACUUAAUGUACUAAUUAUGUUAGGUUAAUUUCUAAUUUGUAGCUCCAAGUUUGCAAGAAAGGAAUGGAAGACAAAGAAACAAGCCUAUCUAGGCUUUUCUCCUUAAACUUGAGUAAGAUGAAGACGAUCUAUGGCUUGAAGACUGAUAAACAAAGGAGAGAGAAUAAUGAAAGCAUUUUGAAAUAGCAGUGACUGAUUUUCUGCGGCCUUGUGUUGUUUUUUGGGUUGCUGUAUACUCCUAUCAUGAUAUUUGUUCAUUCUUGUUUUAAGUUUGAAAAUGCUCACCACACUUUUUUGAACGAUACGACCACUUCACUUUUUGGUGUAGCAUACACAUGCAUACAUGCACUGUUCAGUGAAUGGUGUUUACAAAUCCUGUAAAUUCCAGAGUGCUCAAUUGCUUUCUACCCUUGUGAAUGCAAAGGAAAUUAUUGUUCUUGAAACGUUUUGCUUUAUUUGCCAGUCGACUUUUAUAAAAAUUUGGUCUUUGC